rnacentral:rRNA from 1 species
UACGGGGGGGGCAAGCGUUGUUCGGAAUUACUGGGCGUAAAGGGCGCGUAGGCGGCCUGCUAAGUCGGACGUGAAAUCCCUCGGCUCAACCGGGGAACUGCAUCCGAUACUGGAUGGCUUGAAUCCGGGAGAGGGAUGCAGAAUUCCAGGUGUAGCGGUGAAAUGCGUAGAUAUCUGGAGGAAUACCGGUGGCGAAGGCGGCAUCCCGGACCGGCAUUGACGCUGAGGAGCGAAAGCUAGGGGAGCAAACGGG